GAGUUUGAUCCUGGCUCAGGAUGAACGCUGGCGGUAUGCCUAACACAUGCAAGUCGUACGAGAGUUUUAACUCUAGUGGCGGACGGGUGAGUAACGCGUGAGAAUUUGCCUUUAGGAGGGGGAUAACAAUUGGAAACGAAUGCUAAUACCCCAUAUGCUUUAGAGUGAAAUGGAUUUAUCCGCCUAAAGAGAAGCUCGCGUCUGAUUAGCUUGUUGGUAAGGUAAUGGCUUACCAAGGCGACGAUCAGUAUCUGGUUUGAGAGGACGAUCAGACACACUGGAACUGAGACACGGUCCAGACUCCUACGGGAGGCAGCAGUGGGGAAUUUUCCGCAAUGGCGCAAGCCUGACGGAGCAAUACCGCGUGAGGGAAGACUGCCUAUGGGUUGUAAACCUCUUUUUUCAGGGAGGAAUAAAAUGACGUGUACCUGAAGAAUAAGCAUCGGCUAACUCCGUGCCAGCAGCCGCGGUUAGACGGAGGAUGCAAGUGUUAUCCGGAAUCACUGGGCGUAAAGCGUCUGU
rnacentral:rRNA from 1 species